rnacentral:rRNA from 1 species
AUGCAAGCUGACGCCGAUGCUGGUCUUGUGCCAACAUAUGUCUGUACCACGGUGGGCACCACGUCCACCAACGCUGUCGACCUGGUGAGCGCUAUCGCCAAAGUGGCCGCAUUGUUCAGCGCGUGGGUCCAUGUCAACGCCACCUACGCCGGUAGUGCCCGCGUAUGCCCAGAGUUCCGCCACCACCGCGACGGCGUCGAGCGUGUGGACUCCAUUAGCGUCAGUCCACACAAGUGGCUUCUUACCUGCCUUGAUUGCAUCUGCCUUUACGUCCGCGACGCUCAUGCUCUAAGUGACUCCAUGGAGACCAAUCCAGAGUACCUAAAGAAUGAUGCCAUUGACUCCGCCGAGGUCACCGAUUUCAAGGACAUGCAGGUCGGCAUGGGUCUCCGCUUCCGCGGGCUCAAGUUGUGGAUGGUCAUGCGCACCUACGGCCCCGCCAAGCUCCAGGAGCACAUCCAUAGUGAUGUC